GCAAAAGUUGUGGCAAGUCCAGCCGGAGUUAGCGACAGGGAGGGAUGCGCGCCUGGGUGUAGUUGUGGGGGAGGAAGUGGCUAGCUCAGGGCUUCAGGGGACAGACAGGGAGAGAUGACUGAGUUAGAUGAGACGAGGGGGCGGGCUGGGGGUGCGAGAAGGAAGCUUGGCAAGGAGACUAGGUCUAGGGGGACCACAGUGGGGCAGGCUGCAUGGAAAAUAUCCGCAGGGUCCCCCAGGCAGAACAGCCACGCUCCAGGCCAGGCUGUCCCUACUGCCUGGUGGAGGGGGAACUUGACCUCUGGGAGGGCGCCGCUCUUGCAUAGCUGAGCGAGCCCGGGUGCGCUGGUCUGUGUGGAAGGAGGAAGGCAGGGAGAGGUAGAAGGGGUGGAGGAGUCAGGAGGAAUAGGCCGCAGCAGCCCUGGAAAUGAUCAGGAAGGCAGGCAGUGGGUGCAGGGCUGCAGGAGGGCCGGGAGGGCUAAUCUUCAACUUGUCCAUGCCAGCAGCCCCUUUUUUUCCAGACCAAGGGCUGUGAACCCGCCUGGGGAUGAGGCCUGGUCUUGUGGAACUGAACUUAGCUCGACGGGGCUGACCGCUCUGGCCCAGGGUGGUGGCAGUGCUCCUUUUGGACUUUUCUCUAGGUUUGGCGCUAAACUCUUCUUGUGAGCUCACUCCACCCCUUCUUCCUCCCUUUAACUUAUCCAUUCACUUAAAACAUUACCUGGUCAUCUGGUAAGCCCGGGACAGUAAGCCGAGUGGCUGUUGGAGUCGGUAUUGUUGGUAAUGGUGGAGGAAGAGAGGCCUUCCCGCUGAGGCUGGGGUGGGGCGGAUCGGUGUUGCUUGCCUGCAGAGAGGGUGGGGAGUGAAUGUGCACCCUUGGGUGGGCCUGCAGCCAUCCAGCUGAAAGUUACAAAAAUGCUUCAUGGACCGUGGUUUGUUACUAUAGUGUUCCUCAUGGCGAGCAGAUGGAACCGGGAGACAUGGAGUCCCUGGCCAGUGUGAGUCCUAGCAUUGCAGGAGGGGAGACCCUGGAGGAGAGAGCCCGCCUCAAUUGAUGCCUGCAGAUUGAAUUUCCAGAGGCUUAGGAGGAGGAAGUUCUCCAAUGUUCUGUUUCCAGGCCUUGCUCAGGAAGCCCUGUAUUCAGGAGGCUACCAUUUAAAGUUUGCAGAUGAGCUUAUGGGGGGCAAUCUUAAAAAGUCCACAGCAGAUGCAUCCGGCUCGAGGGGCCAUCAGCUUUGAAUAAAUGCUUGUUCCAGAGCCCAUGAAUGCCAGCAGGCACCCCUCCUUUCCUGGGGUAAAGGUUUUCAGAUGCUGCAUCUUCUAAAUUGAGCCUCCGGUCAUACUAGUUUUGUGCUUGGAACCUUGCUUCAAGAAGAUCCCUAAGCUGUAGAACAUUUUAACGUUGAUGCCACAACGCAGAUUGAUGCCUUGUAGAUGGAGCUUGCAGAUGGAGCCCCGUGACCUCUCACCUACCCACCUGUUUGCCUGCCUUCUUGUGCGUUUCUCGGAGAAGUUCUUAGCCUGAUGAAAUAACUUGGGGCGUUGAAGAGCUGUUUAAUUUUAAAUGCCUUAGACUGGGGAUAUAUUAGAGGAAGCAGAUUGUCAAAUUAAGGGUGUCAUUGUGUUGUGCUAAACGCUGGGAGGGUACAAGUUGGUCAUUCCUAAAUCUGUGUGUGAGAAAUGGCAGGUCUAGUUUGGGCAUUGUGAUUGCAUUGCAGAUUACUAGGAGAAGGGAAUGGUGGGUACACCGGUAGUGCUCUUUUGUUCUUGCUUCGUUUUUUUAAACUUGAACUUUACUUCGUUAGAUUUCA
rnacentral:lncRNA from 1 species